AAGAUGAACGCUGGCGGCGUGCUUAACACAUGCAAGUCGAACGGUGAACUUGGGAGCUUGCUCUCGGGGGAUCAGUGGCGAACGGGUGAGUAACACGUGAGUAACCUGCCCUUGACUCUGGGAUAAGCACUGGAAACGGUGUCUAAUACCGGAUACGACCCUCGGAGGCAUCUCCGAGGGGGUGGAAAGAAUUUUGGCAAGGAUGGACUCGCGGCCUAUCAGGUAGUUGGUGAGGUAAAGGCUCACCAAGCCUACGACGGGUAGCCGGCCUGAGAGGGUGACCGGCCACACUGGGACUGAGACACGGCCCAGACUCCUACGGGAGGCAGCAGUGGGGAAUAUUGCACAAUGGGCGAAAGCCUGAUGCAGCAACGCCGCGUGAGGACGAAGGCCUUCGGGUUGUAACCUCUUUAAGUAGGUAAGAAGACGAAAGUGACGGUACUGCAGAAAAGCGACCGACUAACUACGU
rnacentral:rRNA from 1 species